rnacentral:rRNA from 1 species
UUGCUUCUUUGCUGACGAGUGGCGGACGGGUGAGUAAUGUCUGGGAAACUGCCUGAUGGAGGGGGAUAACUACUGGAAACGGUAGCUAAUACCGCAUAACGUCCCAAGACCAAAGAGGGGGACCUUCGGCCCUCUUGCCAUCGGAUGUGCCCAGAUGGGAUUAGCUUGUUGGUGGGGUAACGGCUCACCAAGGCGACAAUCCCUAGCUGGUCUGAGAGGAUGACCACCCACACUGGAACUGAAACACGGCCCAAACUCCUACGGGAGGCAGCAGUGGGGAAUAUUGCACAAUGGGCGCAACCCUGAUGCACCCAUGCCGCGUGUAUAAAAAAGGCCUUCGGGUUGUAAAGUACUUUCAGCGGGGAGGAAGGGAGUAAAGUUAAUACCUUUGCUCAUUGACGUUCCCCGCAAAAAAAGCACCGGCUAACUCCGUGCCAGCAGCCGCGGUAAUACGGAGGGUGCAAGCGUUAAUCGGAAUUACUGGGCGUAAAGCGCACGCAGGCGGUUUGUUAAGUCAAAUGUGAAAUCCCCGGGCUCAACCUGGGAACU